CGUUGCGGUAGCCAAGCCUGGCCCAAGGCGCAGGGUUGCUAACUCUGUGGCGUUCACGCCUCCGGGGUUCGAAUCCCCGCCGCAACGUC
rnacentral:tRNA from 1 species